rnacentral:rRNA from 1 species
UACGUAGGGGGCAAGCGUUGUCCGGAAUCAUUGGGCGUAAAGAGCGCGUAGGCGGCCCAGUAAGUCCGCUCUGAAAGUCAGAGGCUCAACCUCUGGAUGCGGGUGGAUACUGCUGGGCUAGAGUCCGGAAGAGGCGAGUGGAAUUCCCAGUGUAGAGGUGAAAUUCGUAGAUAUUGGGAAGAACACCGGUGGCGAAGGCGGCGAGCUGGUCCGUACCUGACGCUGAGGCGCGACAGCGUGGGGAGCAAACAGG